rnacentral:rRNA from 1 species
AUGAACGCUGGCGGCGUGCCUAAUACCUGCAAGUCGCGCGAACAGACGAGGAGCUUGCUCCUCUGACGUUAGCGGCGGACGGGUGAGUAACACGUGGAUAACCUACCUAUAAGACUGGGAUAACUUCGGGAAACCGGAGCUAAUACCGGAUAAUAUAUUGAACCGCAUGGUUCAAUAGUGAAAGACGGUUUUGCUGUCACUUAUAGAUGGAUCCGCGCCGCAUUAGCUAGUUGGUAAGGUAACGGCUUACCAAGGCAACGAUGCGUAGCCGACCUGAGAGGGUGAUCGGCCACACUGGAACUGAGACACGGUCCAGACUCCUACGGGAGGCAGCAGUAGGGAAUCUUCCGCAAUGGGCGAAAGCUUGACGGAGCAACGCCGCGUGAGUGAUGAAGGUCUUCGGAUCGUAAAACUCUGUUAUUAGGGAAGAACAAAUGUGUAAGUAACUAUGCACGUCUUGACGGUACCUAAGCAGAAAGCCACGGCUAACUACGU